AUUAUACCGUGAAACUGCGAAUGGCUCAUUAAAUCAGUUAUCGUUUAUUUGAUAGUACCUUACUACUUGGAUAACCGUGGUAAUUCUAGAGCUAAUACAUGCUAAAAACCCCAACUUCGGAAGGGGUGUAUUUAUUAGAUAAAAAGCCAAUGCCCUCCGGGGCUCUUUGGUGAUUCAUAGUAACUUAACGGAUCGCAUGGCCUUGCGCCGGCGACGGUUCAUUCAAAUUUCUGCCCUAUCAACUUUCGAUGGUAAGGUAUUGGCUUACCAUGGUUUCAACGGGUAACGGGGAAUUAGGGUUCGAUUCCGGAGAGGGAGCCUGAGAAACGGCUACCACAUCCAAGGAAGGCAGCAGGCGCGCAAAUUACCCAAUCCCGACACGGGGAGGUAGUGACAAUAAAUACUGAUACAGGGCUCUUUUGGGUCUUGUAAUCGGAAUGAGUACAAUUUAAACCCCUUAACGAGGAACAAUUGGAGGGCAAGUCUGGUGCCAGCAGCCGCGGUAAUUCCAGCUCCAAUAGCGUAUAUUAAAGUUGUUGCAGUUAAAAAGCUCGUAGUUGAACCUUGGGCCUGGCUGGCUGGUCCGCCUCACCGCGUGUACUGGUUGGCCGGGCCUUUCCUUCUGGAGAACCCCAUGCCCUUCACUGGGUGUGCGGGGGAACCAGGACUUUUACUGUGAAAAAAUUAGAGUGUUCAAAGCAGGCCUUUGCUCGAAUACGUUAGCAUGGAAUAAUAGAAUAGGACGUGCGAUCCUAUUUUGUUGGUUUCUAGGACCGCCGUAAUGAUUAAUAGGGAUAGUCGGGGGCAUCAGUAUUCAAUUGUCAGAGGUGAAAUUCUUGGAUUUAUUGAAGACUAACUACUGCGAAAGCAUUUGCCAAGGAUGUUUUCAUUAAUCAGUGAACGAAAGUUAGGGGAUCGAAGACGAUCAGAUACCGUCGUAGUCUUAACCGUAAACUAUGCCGACUGGGGAUCGGGCGAUGUUUCUAUAUUGACUCGCUCGGCACCCUAAGAGAAAUCAAAGUUUUUGG
rnacentral:rRNA from 1 species